AUUGAACGCUGGCGGAAUGCUUUACACAUGCAAGUCGAACGGCAGCACGGGUGCUUGCACCUGGUGGCGAGUGGCGAACGGGUGAGUAAUGCGUCGGAACGUACCGAGUAAUGGGGGAUAACGCAGCGAAAGUUGUGCUAAUACCGCAUACGCCCUGAGGGGGAAAGUGGGGGACCGCAAGGCCUCACGUUAUUCGAGCGGCCGACGUCUGAUUAGCUAGUUGGUGGGGUAAAGGCCUACCAAGGCGACGAUCAGUAGCGGGUCUGAGAGGAUGAUCCGCCACACUGGGACUGAGACACGGCCCAGACUCCUACGGGAGGCAGCAGUGGGGAAUUUUGGACAAUGGGGGCAACCCUGAUCCAGCCAUUCCGCGUGAGUGAAGAAGGCCUUCGGGUUGUAAAGCUCUUUCAGCUGGAACGAAACGGUACGCGCUAACAUCGUGUGCUAAUGACGGUACCGGCAGAAGAAGCACCGGCUAACUACGUGCCAGCAGCCGCGGUAAUACGUAGGGUGCGAGCGUUAAUCGGAAUUACUGGGCGUAAAGCGUGCGCAGGCGGGUUGCUAAGCAAGACGUGAAAUCCCCGGGCUUAACCUGGGAAUGGCGUUUUGAACUGGCAGUCUAGAGUGCGUCAGAGGGGGGUGGAAUUCCACGUGUAGCAGUGAAAUGCGUAGAGAUGUGGAGGAACACCGAUGGCGAAGGCAGCCCCCUGGGAUGACACUGACGCUCAUGUACGAAAGCGUGGGUAGCAAACAGGAUUAGAUACCCUGGUAGUCCACGCCCUAAACGAUGUCAACUGGUUGUUGGGGGAGUGAAAUCCCU
rnacentral:rRNA from 1 species